CGGUAACAGGUCUUCGGAUGCUGACGAGUGGCGAACGGGUGAGUAAUACAUCGGAACGUGCCCGAGAGUGGGGGAUAACGAAGCGAAAGCUUUGCUAAUACCGCAUACGAUCUCAGGAUGAAAGCAGGGGACCGCAAGGCCUUGCGCUCACGGAGCGGCCGAUGGCAGAUUAGGUAGUUGGUGGGAUAAAAGCUUACCAAGCCGACGAUCUGUAGCUGGUCUGAGAGGACGACCAGCCACACUGGGACUGAGACACGGCCCAGACUCCUACGGGAGGCAGCAGUGGGGAAUUUUGGACAAUGGGCGCAAGCCUGAUCCAGCCAUGCCGCGUGCAGGAUGAAGGCCUUCGGGUUGUAAACUGCUUUUGUACGGAACGAAAAGACUCUGGUUAAUACCUGGGGUCCAUGACGGUACCGUAAGAAUAAGCACCGGCUAACUACGUGCCAGCAGCCGCGGUAAUACGUAGGGUGCGAGCGUUAAUCGGAAUUACUGGGCGUAAAGCGUGCGCAGGCGGUUAUGUAAGACAGAUGUGAAAUCCCCGGGCUCAACCUGGGAACUGCAUUUGUGACUGCAUAGCUAGAGUACGGCAGAGGGGGAUGGAAUUCCGCGUGUAGCAGUGAAAUGCGUAGAUAUGCGGAGGAACACCGAUGGCGAAGGCAAUCCCCUGGGCCUGUACUGACGCUCAUGCACGAAAGCGUGGGGAGCAAACAGG
rnacentral:rRNA from 1 species